UGGAAUAGUUGGAGGGUGGACCAGGAGGGGAUCUGGAGUGCAAAAAUAAAUAAAUAAACAAAACAAAACAAAACAGUUAAAUUCUGUUGAUACUGUUAAUCAGUAGUUAUCAUGACCUAGUAUUGCAAACAUCCAAAGGAAGAAGCUGAUCACAGACUCUGGUCUAUUUCCCCUUUCACAUGCUUUCUCUCCUUUCUCCUUAUCAAUGUUCAGGUCAGAACAAUGAAUGUUGCAGUUUAUAGACCCGCAGCCUUUCAGAGUUAUCCUUCAGAGUCUGUGGUUGCAACAAAGUUUUCUCUUCUUGGACAUUCCAUUGGAUAACCUUGCAAUGAUACGGACCCACUGCAGUGUCAGUUCUUUCAUUGUCUCCUGCCUCUGCUUGGCACUUCCUUCCUCUUAUCCUAACAAUCAUGGAUCUUUAGCCAUGUGGGGUUAUUUGUUUGUUUAGUUGUUGCCUUUUCCAGAAUGUCAUAGAUUGGAAUCAGACAACACGCAGUCUUUCCAGUUUGCCUUCUUUUUUCUUAAUGAUCAACACCGAGAUUUCCCUAUAUUUUCUCACAGUCUGUCUCAUUUCUCUUUAGUGUCCAAAUCAUCUGAUCCCGAAUGUAUCCAGUUACCCACAAAAGGGCAUCUUGGUUGCUUUCAGUUCAGUAGUUAUGAAUGCAAAGCUGCUUUAAAAUCUGUUCUGGUUUUCAUGUGUGUGUGUGUAUUUUGGAUUUAUUUAGAAUUAUACUAAGGGGAGAGAUUGCUGCAUUAUAUUGGUAAGAAGUAUCUUAUGCUCUACAAGAAUCCGACAAACUGUCGUCCAACGUGGUUGUACCGUCCUAUCCCUAAGAGCCACGAAGGAGAGUUUUUGGGGUUAUAAUUAAGAGACUUCCUUGAGUCUCAGAAAAGACUUCGGAUUUUGGAAUUUUAGCCUUCAUGUGGAGAGUAUAAAAGGUAAUGGGGACUUUUGAAGUGACACACUAUGAAUUUUACAUUAUGAUAUGGGCACGAGCCUGUGGAGAUAAAGCAAAGGUUGUAGUUUAGAUGGAGAAUGACCCUCACAAUGACAGACAUUUGAACACUUGUUCUUCAGUAGGUGGUACUGUUGGGGAGGGUUAUGUAGUACAGGUUUGCUGGAGGGAGUAUGCCACUGAUAGGUUUUAAAAUUAAAAGCUCAGCACCACUUCCGGUUCUCUUCCUCUCCCUCUUCCUCUUCCUCUUCCUCUCCCCUUCCGUCAUUCCCCCUUCCCCCUCUCUCUCUCCUCCUCCUCCUCUUCCUCCUCCCCCUCCUCCUCCUCUUCCUCCUCCUCCUCCUCCUUUUGCCAUGCCUCCCUUCCAUGAGGGACUCUUAUCUCUCUGGAAUCAUGAUCUCAAGCCCUUUCUUCUCUAAGUUGCUUUGAUCAUACUGUCAGAAAAGUGACUAAUAAGCCAGUCUUUCCUGCCUGGGCUGAUUAUGGUUGUCUCAGCCCCCUCCCUGCUGCCUUACUGUCUGGGAGUAUCCCCAGCAUUAACUUAUCAGUGUCUGCUUUUACCACCUUCCCAGCUGCAUUUAAUGCUGGACACCCUCUCCCUUGAUAGGACACUGCUGCCACAGUACGUGGAUCCAUUUCCAAGGCAUGUUCUUGCCCAAAGUCCAUAGAGUGACUCGUGCUUGACAACUCAGUGGUGCUCUCCUCAUCCAGACACCUUUACAGGAUAGGAAAUGCUAGUGACACACUGAAAGCUAAAGCGAAGAACUUGUAGUGCUGAGGCGGCAGCUGGUAAAGGGAGAGAUUAUCUAAUGAGGGCCCCUCCCACCUCCUUGUCUUUCCUUCUCCCAUCUUCCUAUUUCUUGCUCUAGAGGCUGAGUUCAUCUGCCCCUCCAUGACCCUCUUGGAAGGUGCCUACCUGAGAUGAGAGCAUAGAUAAGUCCAGGUGGGAUCCCUCGCUAGCUCUGAGGGCCACACACGUGAGUGACUGGGCAGCACCAAAACUUACCUCAGUAUAACACACUUAUUCAUCAUUCCAAAUGGGUUGACACAGCCUGUCGAUUCUUUGUGAAAUGAAAUUAGAAGAGUUUUUCCUUUGUUUUAAAGAGAACAUAGUUUGUAGAGAAGUGAGGACUGAGGUAGCCAGACUGUGUUCUAAGCCUCCUAGAUGCUGGGACAUUAGACUAAAAUGUUCCCCUAAGACCAGCAUCUUCCAGUGACCUUUCUGUAGGGGAGGGACAUAGUACCUGGGUUGUACACAGUUAUGCCUGGGCCUGAGCCAUCUGCAUCCUCUCCACUCCCUUAUGGGUCUCACCUUGCCUACUGCAGUCUUAGGUCUGGAGAGCUGUUUUUCCAGAAGCCUUGGGGCUCCCCAGCUUUGCUACCCAUCGAGAGGCCCGAUCUACAGUAAACUGGAUACUUGGAGCCAGGGUGUGAACCAUCUUGAGCAAAAAGUGUUCCCAGCAUGCUCAGUGUGAUUAAUGGAGUCUGGAAGGGAGACCAUUCACCUUGUGCCUGGCAGAAGAGGUAACCCUGUGAUUACUAUGUUCAAUGAAGGAGCAGCUUCCCCGUGAGCCAUGUGGGGCCCUUAUCCCAGUCACUAUGCUGGUCCAGCAAAUUUCAUGGGUUCUUGAUGCCCACAUGCAUGACAGUAAACUUAGGACCUACUAUACUUCUGACCCUACUUGAACUUCUCAAGCCUGCGGUUCAGUGCAUGGCACAAACAGGAACUUCUAUGGUUCAGAGAGGGGCUAAGCUAGAUUGGUGAGGAAACCAGAUGGCAGCUCUAGAGGUCAUGGGUGAUGACUCAGAGUUUUGUGUUUUCAAAGAGGUAAAGAGGGCAUUUCGGCACACACAACCUGGACUUGAAAGGAGUCAGGAAUCAGUAAGCUAAACUGGAACAGCCUUCCAAGGUCUUUUAGGUUUGUACGCAGCUAAUCUACAGAGAUGGCCAGCACAUUAACAAACUCUCCUUUACGGUGGUUCGAAGGGACUGCUGGCUGUUGUACAUAGUAGGACUUUCAUUUUUUAAAAAAAAAAAUAUUUUUUUGCACGAGCAUGCCUGAGUGUGUGCACAUUCUGAAGUGUGCAUAUGGAGGUCAGAGAACUGGGCUCUCUCCUCCCACUGUGUAGAUCCCUGGGAUUGAACUCAGGUUGUCAUGUUUCACAGCAGGUGCUUUUAUCUACUUAGCUAUCUGAAAGGCUGAAUAGGCAGGGUUUUUUUUUUCCUUUAAAGAUUUAUUUAUUAAUCAUUUUAUUUGUUUACAUCUCAAAUGUUAUUCCCCCUUCCCAGUCUCUCCUCCAUGAAACCCCACACCUCCCCCUCCCCUUUGUCUCUAAGAGGGUGCUCCUCUACUCACCCACCCAUUCCCACCUCAUCCAUCUAGCGUCCCCUUCUCUAGGGCAUCAAGCCUCCACAGGACCAAACAUCUCCCCUCCCACUGAUGCCAGAUGAGGCUGUCCUCAGCUAUAUACAUAGUGGGAGCUAUGGACCGGCCCAUGUAUACCCUUUGUUUGGUGGUUUAGUCCCUGGGACCCGCCUUUCAGAGGACAACUCUACCAGGCUCCUGUCUGCAAGCAUCUUGGCAUCAGGGUUUGGUAUCUGUGGAUGGAAUGGAUGACACAGUGGGGUGGUCUCUAGAUGGCCUUUCCUUCAGCCUCUGCUCCAUUUUUGUCCCUGCAUUUUCUUUAGACAGGGACAAUUCUGGGUUAAAAAUUUUUUAGAUGGGUGGGUGGCCCCAUCUCUCCACUGGGGGCCAUGUCUAUCUACUGGAGGUGGUCUCUUCAGGUUCUGUUUCCUCUCUGUUGGGUGUUUUGGCUAAUGUUAUCCCCAUUAGUCCUGAGAGCCUCUUAUAUCCUUCUCGUGAGGGACUUUCUAGUGGUUCCCCAAGUACCCUACCCCCUCUGCUACCUAUUUCUAUUCAUUCUUCUGGCCCUCUGGACUUCUUUCCUGUCCCUUCCCAUACCUGGUCCUGCUUCCUUUUCUCCCUUCCCCUUCCCCUAUCCCACCCAGGUCCCUUCCCCCCUCUGCCAUCUGUGAUUAUUUUGUUCCCCCUUCUAAGUGGGUUUGAAGCAUCCACACUUUAGCCUCCCUUCUUGUUAAGCUUUAUAUGGUCUUUGAAUUAUGUCGUGGGUAUUCUGAGCUUUUGGACUAAUAUAUAUCCACUUAUCAGUAAGUACAGACCUUUGGGGUCUGGAUUACCUCAAUCAGGAUGACAUUUUCUAUUUCCGUGCAUUUGCCUACAAAGUUUGUCAUCAUUUUUUAAUAGCUGAGUAGUAUUCCAUUGUCUAAGUGUACCACAUUUUCUGUAUCCAUUCUUCCAUUGAGGGACAUCUGGGUUGUUUCCAGCUUCUGGCUAUUAUAAAUAAUGCUGCUAUGAACAUAGUGGAACAUGUGUCCUUGUUAUAUAUUGGAACAUCUUUUGGGUAUAUGCCAAAGAGUGGUAUAGCUGGGUCUUCAGGUAGAAUUAUUUCUAAUUUUCUGAGGAACCCCAGAUUGAUUUCCAAAGUGAUUGUAUCAGCUUGCAGUCCUACCAGCAACGGAGGAGUGUUCCUCUUUCUCCACAUCCUUGCUAGCACCCGCUGUCACCUGAGUUUUUAAUCUUAGUCAUUCUGGUUGGUGUAAGGUGAAAUCUUAGGGUCAUUUUAAUUUACAUUUCUCUGAUUACUAAAGAAGUUGAAUAUUUCUUUAAGUGCUUUUCAGCCAUUUGAGAUUCCUCAGUUGAGAAUUCUUUAGCUCUCUCUCCCAUUUUUUAACUGGGUUAUUUGAUUUUCUGGAGUCUUACUUCUUGAGUUCUUUGUAUAUUUUAGGUAUUAGCCGUCUAUCGGAUGUGGGGUUGGUAAAGAUCUUCUCCCAAUCUGUAGAGGGUCAUUUUGUCCUAUUUACUGUGUCAUUUGCCUUAUAGAAGCUUUUCAUUUCAUAAAGUCUCAUUUGUCAAUUGUUGAUCUUAGAGCCCGAGCCAUUGGUGUUCUGUUCAGGAAAAUUUUCCCUGUGUCAAUGUAUUCGAGGCUUUUCACCAUUUUCUCCUCUAUUGGAUUCAGCAUAUCUGGUUUUAUGUGGAGGUCCUUGAUUCACUUGGACUUGAGCUUUAUACAAGGAGAUAAAAAAAAAAUGGAUCGAUUUGCAUUCUUCUACAUACAGACUGCCAGUUAGACCAGCACCAUUUGUUGAAAAUGCUGGUUUUCCCUACUGAGUGGUUUUGGCUUCUUUGUCAAAAAUAAGUGACCAUAGGUGUGUGGGUUUAUUUAUUACUAUUGCUCUGUAGUCUAGCUUGAGGUCGGGGAUGGUUAUCCCCGAGAAGUUCUUUUAUUGUUGAGAAUUGUUUUUGCUAUCCUGGGUUUUUGUUAUUCCAUAUGAAGUUGAGAACUUCUCUUUCUAUCUCUGUGAAGAAUUGAGUUUGACUUUUGAUGGGGAUUGUAUUGACUCUGUAGAUUGCAUUUGGUAAGCUGCCCAUUUUUACUAUGUUAAUCCUGCUGUUCCAGGAGCAUGGGAGAUCUUUUCAUCUUCUGAGGUCUUUCUUCAGAGACUUGAAGUUCUUGUCACACAGAUAUUUCACUUGCUUGGUUGGAAUUGUGCCGGUAUACUUUAUAUUAUCUGUGGCUUUAUAUUAUUUGUGAAGGGUGUUGUUUCCUUAAUUUCUUUCUCAGUCAUUUAUCCUUUGUGUAGAGAAAAGCUAUGGUUUGAGUGAAUUUUAUAUCUAGCCACUUUGCUGAAGUUAUUUAUCAGCUGUAAGAGUUCUCUGGUAGAAUUUUUGGGGUCGCUUAUGUAUACUCUCAUAUCAUCUGCAAGUAGUGAUACCUUGACUUCUUCCUUUAUGAUUUGUAUCCCUUUGACCUUUUGUUGUCUUAUUGCUCUAGGUAGAACUUUGAGUACUAUGUUGAAUAAAUAGGGAGAGUGUGGGCAGCCUUGUCCCUGAUUUUAGUGGGAGUGCUUAGUUUUUCACCAUUUAAUUUGAUGUUGGCUGUUGAUUUGCUGUAUAUUGCUUCUAUUAUGUUCAGGUAGGUGUCUUGAAUUCAUAGUCUUUCCAAGACUUUUAACACAAAGAGGUGUUGUAUUUUGUCUAAGGUUUUUUUGGUAUCUAAUAAGAUGAGCAUAUGUGAUUUUUUCUUUGAGUUUUAUUUAUAUAGUGAAUUACAUUAAUGAAUUUCUGUAUAUUAAUUCAUCCCUGCAUCCCUGGGAUGAAGCCUACUUGAUCGUGGUGAAUUAUGGUUUUGGUGUGUUCUUGGAUUCAGUUUGUGAGGAUUUUUAAUGAGUAUUGCAUUGAUAUUCAUAAGUGAAAUUGGUCUGAAGUUCUUUUUCUUUGUUGGGUCUUUGUGUGGCUUAGGUAUCAGUGUAACUGUGGCUUCAUAGAAUGAAUUAAAUAGUAUUCCUUCUGUUUCUCUUUUGUGGAGUAGUUUGAGAAGUAUUAGUAUUAGACACUCUUUGAAGAUCUGAUAAAAUUCUACACUAAUAGGGCAGUUUUAAGGGAAGGUUCUGGCUUGUUUUCUGUUGUGUUAUUUUUUUCUGGAUAUAUGUGAACACAUGGCUCCUCAUCCCAUAUAGGACAGCAAUUAUAGACCAAAAACUACAAUACAAACUGAGCCUACCUCAGUGCAUCUAUUGGUUUUUUUACAGGAGCAUGGGUAAGGAUGUAUUUUCAGGAGUAUUGGUGACUCUAAAAUAGCUACAUUACCCAAACGUCUAACCCCGGCAUUGAUGAUGAUGUCUCUAAGGCUGUGUAGGUCGAGGCCUUCUUCAGUUAAUUUCCUACCCUUUAUAUUCUCUUGCACCUCCUGAAACUAUGAGUAAUUGUGACAGAAUUAUAUGUGGCUGGAUUGAAAUGCCGUUGUAUGACAGUAUUCCUCGGGAAAUGGGAACAAAGAGGUCUCAGAUAGGGAGCCAAUGGCAAACCAAAGUCCAAUUUGGUGAGCCACUGAACUUACUGGGGAACCUUAUAGGAUAUGGGUGAGAAGUAACUUAAAGAAAUAGGAUGGCUCAAAUCACACCACCAAAUGUCUGCUACACAUGAUUCAUGAAAGCUACCCUAGAGCUCUCUGUACAACAUGAAGGCAGCUUGACAGGUUGGAGAGUUUCAUCAUCUUAUAAUAGCCUUAUGAAGGGGCUUUGGGAAUCUAGCAAGAUUCAAGGCCUUCCUGAGUCUUAUGAGUUUUUCACUUUUUGAACCUCAAGGAGCCUUUAUCUAAAGUCUAAAAAAAAGUUUAGAUUCCUUUAUAUAUAAAGGUCUAAAAGUUUAGACCUUUAAGAGACUUGAUGAGUUUUCCUCUAGAAUGGAGUUGUUUCAAUUAGGAGGAAAUUGUUACCUCAGGGACACAGGAAGGAAAGCAUGGUUGGAGCCUUAGGCAAGGAUCUCACAAUCUACCCUAAACCCUUCUAUCAGGGACCAUUAGCAGGCAUGAUCUUAAUGAUCUUUUAUGGGUAAUCACAGCUGAUGUAAUUAAGACAGUGUCUGUUAUGCUUAUGCUCAGAAGACGACAUUCCAAACACUUCUUUCAGCUGUGUGUGCUCACCUCCAGAACCCGAAUCCUGAGCGAUGGGGACAUAGAUUCUCCUGAAGUCUGGGAGGUCAAGUUGGUGGGUUUUCAGGUAUUAACAAGGCCUGCAUUUUAUACCUCUUGCUCUCAAAGAACAGCCUCCUUAUGUUAUAGGGUUCCCAGCUACUGUGGGGUAUGUUCUGGCUAUCAGCACAGGAUAAGAGACUGUGUUAGAGAUAACCUCUUGUUUUGUGUUUUAAUGGGAACUCCUGUGGUGCCCUUAGGGAGCUGUUUCUAUGCUAGGUUCUCAGGUGCUUCUGUCCAGCAGUGUUGGGGUGCUCCUCAGCCCCUGAGCCCCAGAAAACCAAUUUCUUUCUAUGUACCAUGGAGGGCAGGCCCUUUCUAGAUGUGAUGUUUAUGAUGCAGGAAGGAAGCAGCAAGAUCUAUAUCAGAGACACUGUAAGAUUGGCAGAGAUGGCUUGGGCUCUGAAGCCAGCUUUAGGAAUAUGGUUUUCACGGGGGACUUGGACAUCAGAAAUUAACUGUGAAGCAGAUGCUUGUCCUCGACAGCUGCCGUUUACAAGGCAUGCUCACAGCAGCAAAGCAUACCUCUCAGCAGUGCAAAGGAACCCCAUCCUACUCCAUAUGUGAAAAGCCAUGAUCAACUCUCCUGGCUGUAGGCCAAGCUCAGUUAGUCCUGUAGUGUAUGAAAUUCCUUGAAGUUUUCAGGGCUUGGGUAGAAUUAGCAUCCUCUAGUCUUCAACUAAGCCUGCCUCCGACUUGUUCUCUAGGUUGGAAAUUCAUAUGUUGAAUCACAGAGCUUUUGAUAGUAAGGUAGUAGGGGCUCAAUGAGUGGAAUUAGUGUCCUUGUGAAGAGGCUCCAGAGAAUUCCCUUGCUUCCUUGACCAAAUUAGGAUACUGUGAAAUGGCACCUCCUAUAAGCUAAAAAGGCGGCUCACUCCAGAACCCACACGCAUUGGUUCAUAGCCCCAGACAUACACCUUGCAGAGCUUGAUAAAUAAAUUAUUAGCAUUUGUCAAUGGUUCAGCUGAUAAUAUUUUGUUAUGACUGGACGUGAGUCUGAUAAGACAGGAGUCUUCUCCAUCCUUUGCCCUGGCCCUUUCUGACAUGUCCAGGGCAAGGUUUGCGUACAGAAGUGGGAGUUCCUGGCACAGCCGGUUUUAGAGCUGCAUCUGGGAUGCUUGAGGCAGAUCUGGACCCUUGAAAACUGCCAUGUGGCGCAUACCCACACUCCACCUUAUUGGAGUUGAGUAGUGCCGUACCAAUGUUCUUUGAGUGGCUCCAGUCCACACCCUCCUUGCACCAGGACCUAUUGGAGCCUUAUGCAGGGUGGCAAACACUGUACAAGGUGGUGUGUUCUGGGUGGGUUUGUAUGUCCUACAGUGUACAAUGUGACAUACUUUAUGUGUGGAAUGGGGUUGGGCUCCUGGAACCAGAUGUGUGCAUGCAGGAACAAAGCAGCAACAGACAGCAAGGGUAAGCCUUGAGUGUCUGGAGGAUGCUGUUCAUUUCUUUCAUAAUAAACCAACAUUCUGUGGUGAACCUAAUCUUGGGAGCUAUCUUAUAAAGUGCAGGUUUCAUACUUAUAGUUACAGCUAGAGACAGGGUAGGGAUAACUCGGUCAGGAGGCCUGGAGACUGCCUAGGGAGCAGAUUUUAGGCCAUCUUUCAUCUGCUCAUGCCCAGUAGAGAUUUGGGAGGGGCUUUAGUUGGUGCUGUUUGGGUUGUCUUUACUUCUGUGAUGUUUGUAGUCUAUGUUCUCUGCCAGACCUAGGGAUAGAAGGAGAAGGAGAUGUUCCUCUAGCAGGAAAUAGAGAGCAGAAGGCAUCACUGACUGUAGCUCCAGAUAGACAGUUGUGACCUUUCACCCCAACUGCAUGCCAGGGGUUCUCUCACAACGAGGCUGAUAGUUUGGUUUGGGUGCACGUGUGACAGAUGCUGUUUGCAGCCUGUUUAUAGACACAGUGAGGGAAGUGAAAUCCCUGGACUCCUGUUCUCACCCUCUCUGCCCUGGGUCAUGCUUCCAGCAGAUGUAGGAGAGAGAGAGAGAGAGAGAGAGAGAGAGAGAGAGAGAGAGAGAGAGAGAGAGAGAGAGAGAGAGAGAGAGAU